UGGUGGAGCGAUUUGUCUGGUUAAUUCCGAUAACGAACGAGACUCUAGCCUAUUAAAUAGUUCACCGAUAUCGUUUUGUCGGUGUUAACUUCUUAGAGGGACAAGUGGCUUUCAGCCACACGAGAUUGAGCAAUAACA
rnacentral:rRNA from 1 species